rnacentral:rRNA from 1 species
GAUGAACGCUGGCGGCGUGCUUAACACAUGCAAGUCGAACGGUGAACGAGGGAGCUUGCUCCCUCCGGAUCAGUGGCGAACGGGUGAGUAACACGUGAGCAAUCUGCCCUGGACUCUGGGAUAAGCGUUGGAAACGACGUCUAAUACCGGAUACGAGGCGUGGGGGCAUCCCCAACGCCUGGAAAGAACUUCGGUCCAGGAUGAGCUCGCGGCCUAUCAGGUAGUUGGUGAGGGAAUGGCUCACCAAGCCUACGACGGGUAGCCGGCCUCAGAGGGUGACCGGCCACACUGGGACUGAGACACUGCACAGACUCCUACGGGAGGCAGCAGUGGGGAAUAUUGCACGAUGGGCGAAAGCCUGAUGCAGCAACGCCGCGUGAGGGACGACGGCCUUCGGGUUGUAAACCUCUUUUAGCAGGGAAGAAGCGAAAGUGACGGUACCUGCAGAAAAAGCACCGACUAACUACGUGCCAGCCGCCGCAGUAAGAC